CAUUGGUUCCCAUAUGAUUACCGAAGUUAAGCAAUAUCAAGCCUGGUUAAUACCUAGAUGGGUGACCACUUAGGAAUUCCAGAUGCUGUAAG